rnacentral:sRNA from 1 species
AUCUCAAAAUUGCGUGAAAUUCGGUGUUUGCGUACUUCUGAGGCUACAGUAACCCGAAA